UACCCGGAAGAAGAGGACCGAACACGUUCGGAUGAGCAAGCAUGCUAGCGUCUACGGUUCGAUUUUCGGAGGUGUUAUUUGUGAUUACCACGAAGCCAAUUUGAUAAGAUAGGGUAAUAUUAAUGGCACUAUGUGCAGUUGGUCAUUAAACAACGUUUGAAAAAAAAAAAAAAAAACAUCGGGUAUUGUAGGGGAUGGACGACUCGGAAGUAACGGCAGUGGUCCUAUCUCGGCGCUUUGGCUAUCCGGACGGAAUUGGCUGAAUUGGAUGUGUCGAUUUGAGGUCUUGUGACUUAUGCCUAAAGUGUAGGUGAGGUGGUAUUGGACACCAGUUGCGUCUUGUAACGGGCAUGUCUGGGUAACGGUCAUCUUGCUCCCUUGAGGUCUGCCCCAGCCAGAUGGAGGGUCUCUGGCGUGGCUUCUCUGCCAUUCAGUCAACUGGCUUUACAAGUUAAUCUGUUGCCAUAGGGUUUUUGUGUUCUGUAUUAACCCAGAGACUGCAUGAACAUCCCAGGAGUUUCUGAAAUGUUCAAUCACCCUCGCUGGUACCAACAAACAUUCCAUCAAAGUCAUUUGAUCACAUUUCUUCCUUGUUAUGACGUUUGGUCUGAACAAUUUAACCUCUUGGCCAUGUGUGCAUGCUUUGGCUGAUUUGAUAUUUGCCUUAAUGAGCUGGUGUACUGGGUCAUGUUUAGCCCUCACCAAUAGUUGGGAGGUAAUGUAUCAUUAAAACUGAAAAUUAAAAAAAUUCAAACAUG